rnacentral:rRNA from 1 species
CGAACGGCUGAGUAACACGUAGGUGACCUGCCCCGAAGUGGGGGAUAACUCGUCGAAAGACGAGCUAAUACCGCAUGUGAUCACCGAUUCAUUUCGGUGCUCAAAGUCGUAAGACGCUUUGGGAGGGGCCUGCGGCCGAUUAGCUUGUUGGUGGGGUAAUGGCCUACCAAGGCCGCGAUCGGUAGUUAGGUCUGAGAGGAUGACCAGCCAGACUGGGACUGAGACACGGCCCAG